rnacentral:rRNA from 1 species
UGUUAUCGACAUGUGAAUUCAUAACAUGUCAGAAGGCAGACCCGGAGAACUGAAACAUCUUAGUACCCGGAGGAAGAGAAAGAAAAAUCGAUUCCCUGAGUAGCGGCGAGCGAAACGGGAAGAGCCCAAACCAACAAGCUUGCUUGUUGGGGUUGUAGGACACUCUAUACGGAGUUACAAAAGAACAUGUUAGACGAAUCAUCUGGAAAGAUGAAUCAAAGAAGGUAAUAAUCCUGUAGUCGAAAACAUAUUCUCUCUUUAGUCGA